AUUGAACGCUGGCGGCAGGCCUAACACAUGCAAGUCGAACGAGUGGGGACGGGUGAGUAACACGUGGGUAACCUCCCAUCAGAGGGGAUAACACUUGGAAACAGGUGCUAAACCGAUACUGAUGGAUGAACCCGCGGUGCAUUAGCUAGUUGGUGAGGUAACGGCUCACCAAGGCCACGAUGCAUAGCCGACCUGAGAGGGGGAUAGGCCACACUGGGACUGAGACACGGCCCAGACUCCUACGGGAGGAAGCAGUAGGGAAUCUUAGGCAAUGGACGAAAGUCUGACCGAGAAACGCCGCGUGAGUGAAGAAGGUUUUCGGAUCGUAAAACUCUGUUGUUAGAGAAGCGGUAUCUAACCAGAAAGCCACGGCUAACUACGUGCCAGCAGCCGCGGUAAUUC
rnacentral:rRNA from 1 species